rnacentral:tRNA from 1 species
GUGUAGCGCAGUUUGGUAGCGCACAUGGUUUGGGACCAUGGGGCCGGGGGUUCGAGUCCCUUCAC